UACCAGCACCCCGAGUGGUCGGGACGAUUAUUGGGCCUAAAGCAUCCGUAGCCGGUUCUGCAAGUCCCCGUUAAAUCCAGCUGCUCAACAGAUGGGCCGCGGAGGAUACUACAGAGCUAGGAGGCAGGAGAGGCAAGCGGUACUCAGUGGGUAGGGGUAAAAUCCGUUGAUCCAUUGAAGACCACCAGUGGCGAAGGCGGCUUGCCAGAACGCACUCGACGGUGAGGGAUGAAAGCUGGGGAGCAACCGG
rnacentral:rRNA from 1 species